AAAUUAACAUCAGGGUUGGGAGUGAGGGGUCAAGGGAGUGCAAUGCAACUCAAUAUACCACUAAAAGGGGCUCUACAAGUCUUUGAAAUAGAGGAAAUGAAAUCAAUUUACAAAAGAAGUCAUUUUACAACUCAGAACCAAUUUAACUACUCAUAAAGGAGUAUAAUCAAGACUACCACUCACAAGUCUUUGAAAUAGAGGAAAUGAAAUCAAUUUACAAAAGAAUUCAUUUCACAAUUCGGAAUCAAUUUAAUUACUCAUCUACCCCUCGUAAUUAUUCUCAUUGUUCCCUCAAAUGCAUGUACAGAACAAUCAAGCAUGGAGAACAAAACAUAGAGGAAUCUACCACAACAAUUAAUCAAUAAGCUUAGGUGGAAUCAAAUCACACUUAGCAACAUUCAUGAAAAUGAAUAGGGAAUGUGCUCAUGGUGCAAAGUACAAACUCCCACUCACCUGUCAAUCCGGCACAGUCCUGAUACGCCUCCAAAAAUCUACAGCAGGUAGUGGAAAACUUCUUUCUCUUGUUCCCUAGCUUCUUGCCCAACUGAUACAUGCAUUUACAAUACAUUUAGUAUUAUAUCAAGGUUCAUAAUCUACGUGCCAAUCAUAAAUAUAGGAAACUUUUAUUGAUUCAACUCCCCCCU
rnacentral:lncRNA from 1 species